rnacentral:rRNA from 1 species
UACGAAGGGGGCUAGCGUUGCUCGGAAUCACUGGGCGUAAAGCGCACGUAGGCGGGUUAUCAAGUUGGAGGUGAAAGCCCAGAGCUCAACCUUGGAAUUGCCUUCAAAACUGAUAGCCUAGAGUAUGGAAGAGGUAAGUGGAACUCCGAGUGUAGAGGUGAAAUUCGUAGAUAUUCGGAAGAACACCAGUGGCGAAGGCGACUUACUGGUCCAUGACUGACGCUGAGGCUCGAAAGCGUGGGGAGCAAACAGG